rnacentral:lncRNA from 1 species
CCGUCUCAACUGGGAAGGGAAACACCCCGACUGUUCCUUCAGACAGUUUGAAGAGAAUUAGUGCACUGCAGUGGUUUUAGAGUGUGAAGAAGCUGGGAUGCUCCCCGGUGCCCAUGCAGCCCCCCGUCUGGAAGGUCCCAUCUACCCAGGAGAUUGCACCUCGAGAGGUUGAGGUUCUUGUCUGAGCUCCCAUAACUACUGAGAGACAGACACUCCGGCCCCA